GCCAAUAGAACCUUCCUUUUUUUUUUUUUUUCCUUUAUUUUUUUUACCCCCCACUUCUUACUAGAGAAAUUCGUGUUGCCUCAGCAAUUAAGGAGAAGAGCCAGCAUCUAGGGUUCCAGGCUGUGAGGGGAAGUAGCAACUUGUACCAGUGUCAAUCAGACUGGUACAAAUCUCUUGGAGAAGACAGACAUCAUUCAAGAGGAGUAAAGGUAAAACAGUUGUUCUUACAGGCAACUUGUUUAUUUUGUGAUGUCCUU
rnacentral:lncRNA from 1 species